AAUGAACGCUGGCGGCAGGCCUAAUACAUGCAAGUCGAACGGUCCGCUUCGGCGGAUAGUGGCGCACGGGUGCGUAACACGUAUGCAACCUACCUUACAUUGGGGGAUAGCCUUUCGAAAGGGAGAUUAAUACCGCAUAAGACAGUAGCUGGGCAUCCAGUAGCUGUUAAAGAUUUAUCGGUGUAAGCUGGGCAUGCGUCCAAUUAGCUAGUUGGUGAGGUAACGGCUCACCAAGGCAAUGAUUGGUAGGGGAACUGAGAGGUCAAUCCCCCACACUGGCACUGAGAUACGGGCCAGACUCCUACGGGAGGCAGCAGUAGGGAAUAUUGGGCAAUGGACGCAAGUCUGACCCAGCCAUGCCGCGUGCAGGAUGAAGGCGUUAUGCGUUGUAAACUGCUUUUAUACAGGAAGAAACGACUCUUGCGAGAGGCAUUGACGGUACUGUAUGAAUAAGCACCGGCUAACUCCGUGCCAGCAGCCGCCGUAAUAC
rnacentral:rRNA from 1 species